rnacentral:rRNA from 1 species
CCCUUAGAUGUCCUGGGCCGCACGCGUGCUACACUGACGCAUACAGCGAGCACUUUCCAGUUCCGAGAGGCUACUGGUAAUCAUCAAUAUACGUCGUGAUGGGGAUAGAUCUUUGGAAUUCUGGAUCUUGAACGAGGAAUGCCUAGUAAUCGCAGGUCAUUAGCCUGCGAUGAUUAAGUCCCUGCCCUUUGUACACACCGCCCGUCGCUACUACCGAUUUCGAGUGGUCAGGUGAAUCUUUCGGACUGUGGGCGCCCUUGAGGUGUUCGCGGAAAGUCAGGUAAAUCUUAUCACUUAGAGGAAGUAAAAGUCGUAACA